AAAUAUUUUUUUUUUUUGAGACAGAGUUUCACUCUGUUGCCCAGGCUGGAGUGCAGUGGCAAGAUCUCAGCUCACUGCAACCUUCGCCUCCCAGGUUCAAGCCAUUCUCCUGCCUCGGCCUCCCAAGUAGGUGGGACUACAAGCAUGCACCACUGCAUCCAGCUCAUUUUUGCAUUUUUAGUAGAGAUAGGGUCUCACCAUGUUGGCCAGGCUGGUCUUGAACUCCUGGCCUCAGGUGAUCCACCCACCUUGGCCUCCCAAAGUGCUGGGAUUACAGGCGUGAGCCACCAUGCCCAGCCAAAAGAGUGAUACAUUUUUUAAAGUAAUUUUUAGACACCAGAAUGUUUAGCAGUAAUGACUCUGGGAUUUCAAGCAUUAUUUAUCAACUGCUAUACCAUGGGCCAUGACUAAUCGGAACAAGGCACCAACUCUUAGAUCAGCACCAGGGGUCUGAAACCACCAGGAAGACACACCAAUCAAUACCAUAUUACAGUGAUUUCUGUAACAGUCUAUGCUGUCCUAUAUUUUCCAGGUUUUCUGUAAUGAACAUGUAUUAAUUUUAUACUUUAAAAGGCAGUAACUUUUUAAGCUAAUGUAAAAGUAAAAUUUCUUAACUUCCUUUUUUUAAAUGAACAGGCCUAUAGAGUAAUUAUAAAUUACUUUUCCUGAAAGUUAUGAAUUAUCAAUUUAAGCUUUAUAAGCUAUAAACACCUGUACGCCACUUAACCUGGAGAGGCAUUUAUUUAGACAAAUAUAAUUUUUAAUGUACUAAAUUUAUGUUUGCACAGUUUCAAAUUUUGCUAUAAACAAGGCUAUGAAAUAAGAAAAAAACUAGCAUUGCUUAAUUCCUCCCCACUCCUUGCCAAGAAAUAUUUAGAAAAGUAAGUAGAUACCUUUACAAAAAGGAACUGGGAGGAGGAGAGGACAACACAAAACCCAAAUUCAUAGAAUACAAGUUUUCAAAUUUCUUAAAAGUCGUAUUUCUUUGCAUCCUAUUCUGAAACAAUACUGUCCUCAUUUAACUUCUUAAUACUAUAUUAAGACUAAAUUGUACAAGGCAAGGGACUUCCAAGCUUCUCCCUCCCUGGCAAAAUGUCAUUUUCUAAACCAAGGAUGAGAUACCCCACUUUUAACUCUCCCAAACAUUGAAGCACAUGUAAGCAAUUAAGGUGAAAUCCUCACCUGACAUGAUAGGACCUCUCUCUUAUACCUCCAGGAUUGUACCCAGAAACCCACAUUUGUAUUUUCUUGACCUCAAUUCCCUGGCCACAGUUAACUGGCCAAAUAAGCAUAGGUUUUAUUCAAAGUCACUCUCCGCAGCUGCCUCCUAAUAAGAAAGUCAAUCUAUUUUUAACUCUAUUCACUAUUCUUCACUAUUCUAUGCCUCUUGCUAAGCUCUGGUAUCAAGAGUUGCCUUCUGUGAUGAUCAUUGUUAACAUCCGCCUUAAUGAAUCCUUGACAUCUGAGUACAAAUUUCACAGCAGCAUCCUUACUCACAAUAGCAGCUUCCUCAGAUAGCUUUAGUCAAUUCACAACUUCUGAACAUGAUAAAAGCAUCUUUUACUGGCUGUGAAGUUCUUCAAUAUCCUUGUAAUUACC
rnacentral:lncRNA from 1 species